rnacentral:rRNA from 1 species
UACGUAGGGUGCGAGCGUUGUCCGGAAUUACUGGGCGUAAAGAGCUCGUAGGUGGUUUGUCGCGUUGUUCGUGAAAUCUCACGGCUUAACUGUGAGCGUGCGGGCGAUACGGGCAGACUGGAGUACUGCAGGGGAGACUGGAAUUCCUGGUGUAGCGGUGAAAUGCGCAGAUAUCAGGAGGAACACCGGUGGCGAAGGCGGGUCUCUGGGCAGUAACUGACGCUGAGGAGCGAAAGCGUGGGGAGCGAACAGG